CUUAAAGUUUGGUUGGUCUUAUUUUUAAUCUGGAACUUGAAAUUGUAAAUAAACUGUGAUGGGCUGUUGUGCUUCUCUUCUUUGGACUCUAAAAGAUGGAACUAACUGGGAACAAAAUGAAGAACUACCUCGUCUGCCAGGAAGAGACCAGGGUUACAGUCUUUUAAGAAACACGACAUAGUUUACAGACAAGGAUGUUACGUAUGUGUGUCCAUUUAAUGGCCCCGUUAAAGGACAAGGGUACGUCACAAACUGCAAGCUGUACCUGAGGAGUGUGGAAAAUAGCUUUGCAGAGGGCAAAAAGGCUCUAAAACCACCUGAAUCUCGGAGAAAAAAACCAAGAACUGGCGUCCCUGAGUGGCCUCCUCUAAAGGGGCACCAAAAGGGUCACAGUGAACCCUCUGCAGUGAACAUCGCAAGCUCCCAAGAAGAUCAAAAGCCAAACGGUCAGCUCUGGAGAAGAACAUUUCUGGCCAGAGCAGCUCAUCUCAAAUUCGUCCCAGACCGACAGAUCUCCAAGGGCCCUGGAAUCCGUCACCCUGAAACCUGCUGGACAGUGAUCAGGACACCUCCGAGACGAAUUCGACCACAGCUGCACACAAGCCUUUGUGCUUUGGGUGCGGAACGCAGCGGAGUGCGGUCGGAGAACAUGUCGGGUGGGGGUGGAUUGCGAGGGAAACCAGUUUGCGGACGAGCGAGCCGAGAUCGCAGGCGGAGGGACGGGGGCGUGGGAAGAGCCGGGAACCGGGUCGUCGAUUCGGCGCGUGCCGAUGAUACAAGCUACAGGAAGCAACACAGUUCAAAGUUCAUCCGCAUUGCGGGGCGCAGGGGAAAACCCGAACCCGGAAACACUGAGCAAAGCACGACAAAUCCCAGAAGCCUCAGUGGUGAGUCCAGGCGCAGGCGCGGCAGGAGCGG